ACUGCGGAGGGAUCAUUACUGAGUUUACGCUCUACAACCCUUUGUGAACAUACCUAUAACUGUUGCUUCGGCGGGUAGGGUCUCCGUGACCCUCCCGGCCUCCCGCCCCCGGGCGGGUCGGCGCCCGCCGGAGGAUAACCAAACUCUGAUUUAACGACGUUUCUUCUGAGUGGUACAAGCAAAUAAUCAAAACUUUUAACAACGGAUCUCUUGGUUCUGGCAUCGAUGAAGAACGCAGCGAAAUGCGAUAAGUAAUGUGAAUUGCAGAAUUCAGUGAAUCAUCGAAUCUUUGAACGCACAUUGCGCCCGCCAGCAUUCUGGCGGGCAUGCCUGUUCGAGCGUCAUUUCAACCCUCAAGCUCUGCUUGGUGUUGGGGCCCUACAGCUGAUGUAGGCCCUCAAAGGUAGUGGCGGACCCUCCCGGAGCCUCCUUUGCGUAGUAACUUUACGUCUCGCACUGGGAUCCGGAGGGACUCUUGCCGUAAAACCCCCAAUUCUCCAAAGGUUGACCUCGGAUCAGGUAGGAAUACCCGCUGAACUUAAGCAUAUCAAAAA
rnacentral:rRNA from 1 species